rnacentral:rRNA from 1 species
CAACAGGGAUUGCCCUAGUAACGGCGAGUGAAGCGGCAACAGCUCAAAUUUGAAAUCUGGCCCCUGGGUCCGAGUUGUAAUUUGUAGAGGAUGCUUUUGGUGCGGUACCUUCCGAGUUCCCUGGAACGGGACGCCAUAGAGGGUGAGAGCCCCGUCUGGUUGGAUACCAAUCCUCUGUAAAGCUCCUUCGACGAGUCGAGUAGUUUGGGAAUGCUGCUCUAAAUGGGAGGUAUAUGUCUUCUAAAGCUAAAUAUUGGCCAGAGACCGAUAGCGCACAAGUAGAGUGAUCGAAAGAUGAAAAGCACUUUGAAAAGAGGGUUAAACAGUACGUGAAAUUGUUGAAAGGGAAGCGCUUGUGACCAGACUUGGGCCCGGUUAAUCAUCCACCGUUCUCGGUGGUGCACUUGGCCGGCCCAGGCCAGCAUCAGUUCGGCGCGGGGGAUAAAGGCGUCGGGAAUGUGGCUCCCCCGGGAGUGUUAUAGCCCGUCGUGCAAUACCCUGCGCUGGACUGAGGUUCGCGCAUCUGCAAGGAUGCUGGCGUAAUGGUCAUCAGCGACCCGUCUUGAAACACGGACCAAGGAGUCGUCUUCGUAUGCGAGUGUUCGGGUGUCAAACCCCUACGCGGAAUUAAAGUGAACGCAGGUGAGAGCUUCGGCGCAUCAUCGACCGAUCCUGAUGUUCUCGGAUGGAUUUGAGUAAGAGCAUACGGAGCCGGACCCGAAAGAAGGUGAACUAUGCCUGUAUAGGGUGAAGCCAGAGGAAACUCUGGUGGAGGCUCGCAGCGGUUCUGACGUGCAAAUCGAUCGUCAAAUAUGGGCAUGGGG